rnacentral:misc_RNA from 1 species
GAUAGAGUCUAAGGAAAUGUUCUAUGGUAGAUCUUGAAAAGAAAAUGAGUAUUUAUUAUAUACAUAAAAAAAUGAAGGAUACAUAAAUAAUUGAACAAUAACUACUAACUAGUGUUUAGACAAACAGAGGUGACACAAGAUUCUUCUAUCACAUUUACAAUUGUGAAUUACAUCAAGGAUCAACCUCCAACCCUUGUCUUUUU